GGGGCUUUUUGAGGAUCAGCUAUCUAUCUAACAAAUUAACCCCUGAAAUUUAGUUGCUUAAAAUAAUUUUUCCUCUCACAGAAUUUCUGUGGUUCUAGGAAUCUGAGAAACUUAUCUGGGUGAUUUCCAGCACAGUGUCUCUCAUGAGGUUGCAGUCAAGAUGGUGGCCAGGGCUGCCGUCUUCCAAAGGCUUGACUGGGGGUAGAGGACUUGUUUCCAUAGUGUCUCUUUCACACAAUUGGCAAGUUAGUGCUAGCUCUUGGCAGGAGGCCUCAGUGCCUGCAACGUAGACAUCUUCACAAGACUGCUGGCUUUUUCCUCACAAAAUGACAACUGGCUUCCCCACAGAGAGAGUUAUCCAAGAAAGGCAGGAGAGGCCACAUGCCUUUUGUGACCUGUCUUGGGAGUCACAAAUCGUCACUCUUGCCUAUUCUACGUGCUAGAAGCAAGCCACUUGGUCCAACCUUCACUCAAGGGGAGGAGAAUCAGGCUCUAUUUUUUUGAAGGGAGUGUCUAAGAAUUUGUGGUCAUAUUUUAAGUCACCACAAGAGAUAACAUAAGUAAAAUUCUUGGAAAAAAUAAGUGUUGGAUAAAUGAACGCACUUAGUAUUUGAAGGCUUUAAAAGUACCUGGUUCCAUUCCAUCUCUCUAGUACCUAGCAUAGUACUUGGUGUGCAGCGGCCGUCUUAAAUAAGGAGCUAAUGUUAAUUAAAUAACGAGCUAAAUUUGUUGUUUGCUUUGUGUCUGGUGUUGUGCUAAGCAUUUCUGUCAGAAAAGUUCAUUCCAUUUUCACAAUAUCCCUAGAAAAUGGACACUAUUAUUAUCUCAGUUUUAUUGGUGGGAAAACUUAAGUGUGCACAGACAAGUUGAGCAAUUUGUUGGAUGUUAACAUAUGGAGGAGUGUGAUAGAGCUCAGAACUAGUCUCUGUCAGCUCCAGUAUGCAGCUUUUAACUACCAAAGUACAGGUCUUGUCAUAAAGCAAGGCCUCUAAAAUUAUUUGUGUGAAAUAUUCCUGCCUCUGAAACUUGUUAUCCAGGAAUAUUUUGAGAGCGGGAGAAAAUGCUACUUGAAUUGUGAGGUCUGUAUGUUGAGGCACUUCUCUCAGAUCUAAAAUGUUCUAAAAAUUCCCAGCCAAAAUUUCACAACGGGAAGCACCAGGAUUCCUCCCCUACACUCUUCCUUUCUGUGUUAUUUGGUAAAGCAUGCCCACACCUCUGCUUUCUUCUGGUCUGCAUUUUAGGUUUCCCCUGGAAACUUGGUUGUUUGGAGGUCCAAAGGCUGAAUACAAGUUUGAAGACCAAAGUAGAUGAUCGUAAAGCUCAUUUUCUGCCCUAAAGCUUUUAUCACUUUGGACCUGAUGGCUAAAGAAAGGAGCCAUAUACCUCCAGAAGACUACUCCCUUGGCCAUAAGAGAGAACUUUGGAAGGACCAUUCAAGCAAAUCAUGGAAGACACCUAACAGAGUGUCAGCAAAUGUUUAUUAAACUACAUUAAUUGACUGAUCCCAUAACACUUAAAAGACCUAUUAGAGAGGUGGAGUCAAGUCCAGGAAGAAACACCACCAAAAGGCUGGAGAAGGCCCCAGUGACAGAUUACUUUAUGGAUAAUGAAAAUCCAGAUUGAUUGGCUUAAAAUCCUACUCCUGGAGAGGUUGAAACUGCAACACUGUCCAAACCCUCCCCCUCUGUACAAAGUGCAGUGGGCGUCAGCAUGGAGACCUCCCAGUUCUGUGUAUUGGUAAAUCCACAAGGAAAGGAAUGGAGGCUUCCUCCCAUGGACUCAGAAUCCAGAGAAUCUCUGCUGCUACCACAGAAGGCAUUUCGGAAAGAUGUGAUUACUGAGCCAAGUGAGCAUUCCCAAAUCCUUGCUAUUUCCCAGACACAUGAGCUCAACAGUAUUGACAGAGCUUAGGGAGCCUGUUAUGUCCUACAGAUGGAAUGUUGUAGAACACAACCUAGACAUCAUCGAAUGUGGCCAUGAAAUAUUUCCAGUGAAAGUUUUAUUUCUACUUCCCCACCAUUCAGCUUCUCAAUCUACUGGUCAUGAGAAGUUACUUGGCUUGAUCAGAAUUUGAGUUGAAAUUUUUUCAGAGAAUAAAGAAAAUUCCCAAAGGUCUAACACAGAACAAAUGGCCAUGCUAAAUCAUACUAAAUAAUUCAGUGCAGCACUUCCAGACGUCUGCAAGAUUCUUCUUGGCACAGAUUCUUUUCUAUGCUGAGCGUGUGCCUGUGGUUAUCUCCAUGUUUUUAUAAGACUCAGCUCCACUGACAGCAGUUAACUUGGACCCAACCAGAUCAACUAAGGUCCUUCUCUAGCAUUGGAUUUGGCCCAGAGAGCCUCUUGGCAUCUCAGUGGUUGAAACUGUAUGAUAGGUAAUUUAAGAACUAUCAGUAGCCAUAUUUGCCUGCUUCUGAAGAGUGCUGGUUUACAGUGAGAAGGAAUAAGGCCUACCUAUGGAGAGAAACAGAGACAGAAACAAUCCCAGUGAGGUUCAUGUUUCUGGUUCCGGUUGUUCCUGAUGCCCCUCUGCUUCCGUGCACUUCCAGAAGCAGGAGCUGAACACAGGAACUGGUGCCUUAAGGGAAUGGAGGCCACGAAGGCUGAUGAGGUCCGGAGGUUGAUGAGGUCCAGAGGUUGAGGAGCCAGGAAGAAGGUAGACCUCAAGUCCUAAAAUCACCACAAUGCAACAUCUCUAGGCCAGAAACUAAACCCUGGUAGGAAAAGGGUCCCAAGGGAGACAAGGCAUGGGGCCAAGGAAGACCGAGGGGGACAGCAACCUUCCGAGGCACUGGAGCUACAGAAUCCCUGGGGCUCACAGAUUUAUGAGUUUGUGUGGCAUUCACAUGGAUCUGCCCUUCUGUCAAAGUGGCCAUAACGGAUGUGAUCUCACAAAGGUAGGGCUGAUCAGCGCCAAUGUCACGCUCUAAGUCAUAGUCAUACGUUUGCAGCCUGCAAAAUGAUGGAAUGGAAUAGACCCUGUUCACAGCGAUGUUCCCUUCUUGGGAAUUGCAACUGAGAAGACAGACCCUCACUGGCCAUGUCUCUACACCAGUGCCAAUCUAGGACAACCAGAGUGUCUAUUCCAAAGAGUUUGAAAUUUUGAGCUGAAAGAUACAGAAAUGAAAGACUAGUAGAAAGUGUAGGAACUUCUGCCCCUGAAGUUCCCAGAGUUAUUUUAAUUCUGUUAUUUCUCUGUGGUUUGGAUACAGCCUAUAUUAGUUUUCGGUAGCUGUUGUGGCAAAUUAGUACACACUGAGUGGCUAAAAAACAUGAAUUUCUUCCUUGCCUUCCCUAGGCAAGGUUUAUGGCUCCAUCACUCCCAUCUCUGCCUCUGUCUGCACAUCAUCUUCUCCCGUGUCUUUCCCCCUUUAUGUGUGUCUUAUAGAGAUACUUGCCAUUGGAUUUAGGGCCCACCGGGAUUAUUUCCUCAUCUCAAGAUCCUUAACUUAAUUACCUCAACAAAGACCCUUUUUCUAAAUAAAGUCACAUUCACAGGUUCUGGGGGUUCUGAUGUGAAUGUAUUUUGGGGGGUGUUACCAUCAUUGAACCCAACACACCACCCUUCCAAUUACUUUCUCAAACUAAGCAGUGCCGUUUCCAUCACUUGGAACCAAAAAAAAAAUUAGUUUAGGAUCUCUCGAUGCUAGCCAUGACAGUUGUAAGUGGUUUGUACCACCUGUAUACUAAGCUUGACUUCAGAAAUUCUGCAAUUUCAAUGUAGUGUUACCUUGGAACUUAUUGAAAGUGCAAGUUUCUGCCUUCCACCCCAGUUUCUCAAUAAAUUGGUCCAGGAAUCUGCAUUUUAACAAUUCUCAGGUGGUCCAAUGAGAAAAGAACAGGAAAAAUUACGAAGGCUCAGACCCUUUAACGUCCAAUUCAAAUAAAAGCAAAAGGAAAAGCAAUGAAAAAUAACUUGAAAACUUUAAUGAUAUUGUUUAUAUAGUAAAAACAUAAAAUCUUUUAAAUAAGGUACAUUCAAUUUCUCAGAGCAUCUAAUAUUCAGAUAAUUUAUAUUUCAUAUACUUUCCAACAUUAAACAAUUGACUAAGUAAUGCAUUUUCUAAAAAAUGAUAUUACAACUUAUAUAAGUAAAAGUACAUUACAAAAAUACUCCACACAGGAAGGAUGGCAGUACUUAUUAAGAAAUGCUAUAAACUUUCCAUUAAAAAAUAUAUUUUAUCUCUCAUUUGUCAUAAUUAUAAACAGAAUAUAUAUUUUCCUUUCUAAAAUUGUCUUACACAGUUUCCCCUUAGGAUGAUAGUAUGUACAAACCUUAUAUCUGAAUGAAUAUAAAUAGAAAUACUGUAAUAGUGUUACAGAUAUAUUAGUAACUUUUACAGAAAAAAAAUAUGGCUUUCUAAUAAAAGCCUCUAAUAAAACAGCUGAAAUC